AUUGAACGCUGGCGGCAUGCCUUACACAUGCAAGUCGAACGGCAGCGGGCCUUCGGGUGCCGGCGAGUGGCGAACGGGUGAGUAAUGCAUCGGAACGUGCCAUUGAGUGGGGGAUAACGUAGCGAAAGUUACGCUAAUACCGCAUAUUCUGUGAGCAGGAAAGCAGGGGACCGCAAGGCCUUGCGCUCUUUGAGCGGCCGAUGUCAGAUUAGCUAGUUGGUGAGGUAAAGGCUUACCAAGGCGACGAUCUGUAGCGGGCCUGAGAGGAUGAUCCGCCACACUGGAACUGAGACACGGUCCAGACUCCUACGGGAGGCAGCAGUGGGGAAUUUUGGACAAUGGGCGCAAGCCUGAUCCAGCCAUGCCGCGUGAGUGAAGAAGGCCUCGGUUGUAAGCGUCUUUCGGCCGGGUAAGGAAAUACGCAUGGGUUAAGUACCCUGUGUGGAUGACGGUACCGGAAUAAGAAG
rnacentral:rRNA from 1 species